AGGGAGUUUGAUCCUGGCUCAGGAUGAACGCUGGCGGCGUGCUUAACACAUGCAAGUCGAACGAAGCAACUUAUUACGAUCCCUUCGGGGUGACGAUUUGUUGACUGAGUGGCGGACGGGUGAGUAACGCGUGGGUAACCUACCUUGUACAGGGGGACAACAGUUGGAAACGACUGCUAAUACCGCAUAAGCGCACAGCUUCGCAUGGAGCAGUGUGAAAAGUUUUUUCGGUACAAAAUGGACCCGCGUCUGAUUAGCUAGUUGGUGAGGUAACGGCCCACCAAGGCGACGAUCAGUAGCCGACCUGAGAGGGUGACCGGCCACAUUGGGACUGAGACACGGCCCAAACUCCUACGGGAGGCAGCAGUGGGGAAUAUUGCACAAUGGGCGAAAGCCUGAUGCAGCGACGCCGCGUGAGCGAAGAAGUAUUUCGGUAUGUAAAGCUCUAUCAGCAGGGAAGAUAAUGACGGUACCUGACCAAGAAGCACCGGCUAAAUACGUGCCAGCAGCCGCGGUAAUACGUAUGGUGCAAGCGUUAUCCGGAUUUACUGGGUGUAAAGGGAGCGUAGGCGGUUUUACAAGUCUGAUGUGAAAGCCCGGGGCUCAACUCCGGUAUUGCAUUGGAAACUGUAGAACUAGAGUGUCGGAGGGGUAAGUGGAAUUCCUAGUGUAGCGGUGAAAUGCGUAGAUAUUAGGAGGAACACCAGUGGCGAAGGCGGCUUACUGGACGAUUACUGACGCUGAGGCUCGAAAGCGUGGGGAGCAAACAGGAUUAGAUACCCUGGUAGUCCCCU
rnacentral:rRNA from 1 species